UUCUACUAAAUUUUUAUUUAUCGACAAAGACAUCUAAAUUACACACUGAAUUUUACAACAUGACCAAAUAUUGCAAAUACCCCUUUUGAGCAAAUUCAAAAAAUGGAACAAACUAUAGAGCAUGGAUGGGCCAGAUUAUAUGCUGAAAUAAGACAGAAUUGGACAGCCUAGUCUGUGUGCUUUCCAGGGGAAGAAAAUGCAUCUUCGAAUAUGGUUUGUAUGGCGCCCUAGCCUAGUGGGGUGUGAUCCUGAAUGAGGCUAGUGGGUGCUAUUGUCAUACAAAUAUAUUUAAUAAUGAAAGCACAGUGAUCCUGUGCAAUAAGAAAGAAUACAAAAAUCUCGAAUGUGCACAGAACAUAGUUGGAAAAUGGGUAAAAGGAGAACUUAGUAUGUCUCGAGCCAGUGUUAUCCCAGAAUUAUUGAUGUUCCACCCAGAGCUUUAACCAUUACACCAUCUUUCCCCUUCUAAGAACCCAGACAGAGCUAGCAGAAGGCUCUCUAAUCUAUCAGACAAAGGCAUUAGCAGGAGUCAAUGGCUGGAAGUUGAAGCUGGACAAAUUCAAACAGGAAAUAAGAUGCAUGUUUUUAGAAGUAAGGGUAAUUAACCAUUGGAACAGCCUUCUAAAAUAUGUGGUGGAUUCUCUGUCACCUGAAGUCCUUAAAUCAAGGUUUGAUGUCUUUGUAAAAGAGAUUCUACUUCAAUCACAAGUCAUUGAGCUUGAUGUAGAAAUUACUGGCUGGGAUUUAAUGGUCUCUGUUAUACAGGAGGUCAGACUAGAUGAUCAUAAUGGGCCCCUCUGGCCUUGAAAUCUAUGAAGCUAUGAAAUCUAUGAAUAAGCUCCACCCAUGUCAAUGACACAGUUUGUUUCCAUAGAAACUUCCUUAAAAGGGGAAAAAGCAGACAGAAUCAGAAGGACAAAACCUAAACACCAUAAUUGGCAUAAAUUGAAUGUGACCCUGGUGGGUGCAAUGGAAAUUUUUUUUUCAACGACGGCAGGUGUUCCAGAUGGUUGUAACCAGUCUACUUUGUGUUUAGACAGGUGGUGCUGAGGGAGGAGAGAAGCUUUGCUUAGCUGAUCAGGGUUGAAUGGACUGUAAAUAUAUUAAAAUAAGAGAUGGCAGGUGAAUUGUGUCUCAAGUACUUUUUAAUUCCCAUCCGGGGGAUGCAUGGAGGCUUGUUUACCACAAAGGGAAAGUUUAUGGUCAUCAGUAUGGGAUGCUCUACUUAAGUUCCCUUACACACAUGGAAAUAAAACUCUGGUAGCCCCUCACACUAUCACAUUCUCUCCAUUAUUGCCUGAACGGACUGAUUACUUGUGUCUCCUGGGUUUUAGCAGGGAGCAUUGUGUGAGUAGAUGCCCGCACCAAAGAUGCAAACAAGCCUCUCUACGUGCAGGCAUAUACCUAUUGAUCCAGCAAGCCAUAUCUGGACUCAAUGACCAAUAAAGUCAAUUUCCCCCUUCAACACUGGGACAAGAACAAUUUAAAAAAAAUACAAUUUCCAAGUGCAUAUAUGUCUAUGGAAAAAACAGAAAAUCUUUUCAAAUGCAAACAGUUCAUUGCGACGCACAUUAUCAACUGCUUCUUAGCUGCAAAGAAACGCGCCAAUAUAGUUUGCCUGCUUGUUAAAGGCAUGAUCAAAGAGAAGGGAAGAGCCUAACUCAAGGCUCUUUUAAAGUGGCUGGGAGCUAAGGUCACAGGAGCAUGGGUUUCUUUUAAAACUGUUGACGUUUAGGGGGUGCAUUUCAGAAACACUACACUUUCAAUGCAGCAAAGGUGACGUGUUUCAAGCCUGGGAGCCCAUAUUCUGAAGCUUUGCAUUUAGCCUCUUAAACAGCACAAGCUCGCUCUUUGGAAGAGAGCUGCGAUUGUUUACAGGGGGCGGAUGCAUUAACCCCAAAGCAAAGGCGACCUUUCAGACACAUGCUGCGAGGCGUUACUCCGAACAUGUGCUGCAAAGAUUCCUGCGGUUCCGGAGAAGGUACUGCAGCUGGAGGUGAGAGUUACUUACCAAGCUGAUUUUAAACAGAUCUGCCUGCUUGGCUCAUGCUGCUGCCUUGCUCAUUCUGCAUGAAGCUGUAACCAUGUCCCCUUGCGUAUUUAGCUAUCGCUUAGGAAUUCACUUGAGCCUGUUUUAUUCCCUAGUCUUUUGGUUUUUAAACUGGGGCUUGAUCACUUCAAUCGUCACACCAUUCUCCUUCUGGGUUUGGAGACUGAUGUACUCUGGCUCUCCAGAAAGCAGGAUCACCAGGGUACAGGCAGGGCAACCUUUUCCCACACUGCCCGCCAAGCCGUCUCCUAGCGAUGAGAGGGCAGGGCAUGGCUGUGGUCAUUCUUUGGCCUUCACGCUCAGGCUGCAAGCAAUGCUGCCAAUCAGCAUGGUGGAUUUUUAAAAAAAAAAACCAUCUGUAAAUCUGCAUGCUAGAAACUAGCUGGACUGAGAGCCAGCAGAUGCUUUUUGCAUUGGACACAACUGCUUUCAGGUGCCAGUGACUCUUACUCCCUGUCAACUUGGGCUGGAUUUGAACUGGGGACCUAGAAAUGACAAGCACCUCCCCCUCCCUGACUUCCAUUUGGACUGAAGUUGUAGGAUUUGUCAGCCAAGGGAAAACGAAUCAUCAUCUUAGGGCAAGAUUUUCCUUCCUGCUUCCCAUCUGCCAUUAUUCCAAUCCCUAACCAUACAAGGGAGUAAUUCUAAACUGGGAGAUUCUUUCCAACCGUGGCCAUUUCAUGGCUCCAGCCUCAUGAUGCCUAGGAUUGGAAAGCUAUCCCCACCACAAAGCCAUUGUAGAUUUUCAUCCCACAAGCCCCAGUGCACCUCCUGAACUGAACGAUUUUAGAGAAGGCAGAAAAUACACUGUGUGUUCAAAAAAGAAAAAAGUGGGAGCAGUUUUACCUUGUUCUAGGAACUGAAACAUGGAAUUAUCUGAGCUUUGCUGCACAGUUAUCUCGAUGGCCAGGGUUUGUGGAAUACUAAGCUUACUCUCAAAAAUAUAACCGCCCACCCUUGCACUCAACGUGGGUAACCGCAUAUAUGCCAGCGUGAGGUGGCCUGCGUUUUACUUUAGCUGGAGGAAAAGCUACCCCUACUCCUUGCCUUCAAACUGUCAAGAGCUUGGGUUAUACAUACAUGCUCCUCUCCCGCUUCUAGGGAGGGGUGUGGCGUCACUUCUGUAUCUGGUUAAGAUGAAGGUCCUUUUUAGGGCUACCGGGGGCAGGGAAUGGCAUGAGAAUUCUACCCACCUUCCAC